rnacentral:rRNA from 1 species
GGAGGCAGCAGUGGGGAAUUUUCCGCAAUGGGCGAAAGCCUGACGGAGCAACGCCGCGUGAGGGAGGAAGGUCUUUGGAUUGUAAACCUCUUUUCUCAAGGAAGAAGUUCUGACGGUACUUGAGGAAUCAGCCUCGGCUAACUCCGUGCCAGCAGCCGCGGUAAUACGGGGGAGGCAAGCGUUAUCCGGAAUUAUUGGGCGUAAAGCGUCCGCAGGUGGUCAGCCAAGUCUGCUGUCAAAUCAGGUUGCUUAACGACCUAAAGGCGGUGGAAACUGGCAGACUAGAGAGCAGUAGGGGUAGCAGGAAUUCCCAGUGUAGCGGUGAAAUGCGUAGAGAUUGGGAAGAACAUCGGUGGCGAAAGCGUGCUACUGGGCUGUAUCUGACACUCAGGGACGAAAGCUAGGGGANCGAAAGGGAUUAGAUACCCCUGUAGUCCUAGCCGUAAACGAUGGAUACUAGGCGUGGCUUGUAUCGACC